AGUAAUAUGCCUGAUUAAAGGAAUAUUUUGAUGAAAUAUUUAUGUAAUAAUUUACUAUUACUU
rnacentral:tRNA from 1 species